ACACAUUAUUACAGUAUAAAAUAUAAUAAUCUUUAUAUUUGGGUGGGUGGUAGUUAGGCUAUGAUCAAUUGUUUGUGCCUCUAAAAAAAUGGCGUCAGUCACCAGUGCCUGGGUCAUCCACCACCCCCACCUCAAAUUUCGCGAAUUCAAGAAAUCAUUUUCUAUCUCCUCUUGGUCCCGCAUUAAUUCUCAUGCAUCAUCUUCUUCAACUAAACUCUUCCCUAAACUGCAAUUCAGUGGAAGAAGAAGAAAUUUUAUCAUGGAAAAUCCUUCAAUUUACUGUCUUGAAACUUCAUUAUUACUUAAUAAAGUGAAUUCCCAGAAGAAAGAGGAUUACCCUGUUGAGCAUGAUGCUAUUGAACCAGAGGUCUUUGCAUGGUCUUCUGUAAUUUUACCGUUUCUAUUCCCUGCACUAGGUGGUAUGCUAUUUGGGUAUGAUAUUGGUGCUACUUCUGGAGCUACAAUAUCACUACAGUCUCCUGAGCUUAGUGGUGCAGCAUGGUUCAAUCUUUCAGCAGUUCAACAGGGUUUGGUGGUGAGUGGCUCACUGUAUGGAGCUCUUUUUGGUUCUAUUAUCGUCUAUCCAAUAGCUGACUUCCUUGGAAGGAAGCGAGAACUACUAAUCGCUGCAGCUCUCUAUGCAAUUGGUGGCCUUACCACCGCAUUUGCUCCUAGUCUUAAUAUUCUUUUGAUUGGAAGGUUUCUUUUUGGCCUUGGCAUUGGUUGGGCUAUGCAUGGGGCCCCUCUUUACAUUGCAGAAACUUGUCCUUCUCAGAUUCGAGGAACCUUGAUUUCGUUGAAAGAACUCUUCAUAGUUCUUGGCAUUUUGUUGGGUUACUUUGUUGGUAACUUUAAUAUUGAUGUGGUUGGAGGCUGGCGUUACAUGUUUGGGUUGAGUCUUCCGGUUGCUGCAGUUAUGGGUCUUGGGAUGUUAACUCUGCCUACUUCACCUCGCUGGUUGCUUCUUAGGGGUGUUAAAGGUCAAGGAUCUUUGCAGGAGUACAAGGAGCGGGCUAUUGCUGCUCUGAGCAAACUACGAGGCAGACCCGCUGGGGAUAAAAUGUCUGAAAAGCAAAUUGAGGAUACACUAGUUUCAAUGAAGUCUUCUUACCAAGAUCAGGAAGAGGGAAGCUUUUUAGAGGUGUUUCAAGGGCCUAAUCUGAAAGCUUUCAUCAUCGGUGGAGGUCUCGUACUUUUCCAGCAGAUAACUGGGCAGCCUAGUGUUUUGUAUUAUGCUGGUCAAAUCCUACAGAGUGCUGGGUUUUCUGUUGCAUCCGAUGCCACUCGAGUUUCAGUGUUGAUUGGCCUAUUCAAGUUUGUUAUGACAGGAGUAGCUGUUCUUAAGGUUGAUGAUCUUGGAAGGAAACCCUUGUUAAUAGGAGGUGUUAGUGGGAUUGCCGUGUCCUUGUUCCUCCUUGCUGCAUAUUACAAGUUUCUUGGAGGCCUCCCUUUUGUUGCUGUAGCUGCUUUGCUGCUUUAUGUCGGUAGUUAUCAAGUAUCAUUUGGUCCAAUCAGUUGGCUAAUGGUGUCAGAGAUAUUCCCUGUUCGCACAAGAGGACGAGGAAUCAGUCUUGCUGUUUUAACAAACUUUGGUUCAAAUGCUCUUGUGACUUUUGCCUUUUCACCAUUGAAGGAGUUGCUUGGAGCUGAUAACCUAUUCCUCUUAUUUGGAGCAAUUGCUUUGCUGUCUCUUGUAUUUAUAUUGACGUUGGUACCGGAGACCAAGGGCUUAAGUCUGGAAGAAAUCGAGGCAAAAUUAUCGGAAUGAGAUUUGGUUCAGAUGCUACAUGAUAAGAAAAUUCAUUUUGUGGCAGUCCAAGAAGAUGGGAGCACACUUUUUCUUUCUUUAUAUUGCACCCUGGGAGAGGGCUUCCAAUUUCGGAAAGCAGAACAACUGAAGCCAGAUUAUAGUUUUGCAAGAGUCUAGACCAGUCUAGAGCUGCUGUCUUCAAAUUGCCGGUCAAUGCAGGGUGUACGGGGUGCAGUCGGUGAUAUUCGUACUAUGAAGGCUGGAGGUUAAAGAAAUAUCAAGUGGAUGUUACGAUAAUUGGGCAGCCUAGUCUCUUUGCGUUAUGUUGGUUAAACAAUACAGGAUGAGGUGAGAUAACUGGGGUUACUGAGCAGCCUAGUGUCUUGGAUUAUGCUAGUUAAAUCCAACAGGGGGUAGCCAGUUUUCACUUAAAAUACAAUGCAUCAUUUGACAUAUUCCAAUGUAUCUCUCGGCUGCACGGAGGAAUGUUAAUGAAUUCUGUAUGUCCAAGAUAACUGGGCAGCCAAGUAUCUUGGAAUCUUGGAUGAUGCAGUUAAUCGGACUUAAUCCUACAGUGCGAACUGUGUAUGACAUUGUAACAAACAGAGAAGAUGAGCAUCCUACGGUUCUAUGACCGUGCACAAGGAUUGAAUCAAUGCUACAUACAAAACUAGCAGAUGCAGAGAUAGGUGAGGGUGGAAAUUGUUGGGGUAGU